UUGAGAUUUCACAAAAUUUCGCUCAAACGCUAAAGCCUUUGGCGAGACUCAGUUCUGCUCCCACCUCUUCCUGCUGCUCAGACAUGCCGUUCCCGCACCAAAUCCGUCGCCAAAAGCCGCCGUUUCCCACCGUUUCUCCACCAACUCUGUCUUCGUCGCCUGAGGUCGUCGCCAACAGCACCGCACGCCACACCUGGGUCUCCGUCGUCGCUGUCCGCAGGUUGUAACAGCUCCUGUGUCCACUUUAAAUGCUAUUGUUGUUGAAGCAUACAAGAAGUACAUACUGGUUUUACUCAUUCACCUUGGGCAGACUGCAAUUUCUGCUAGUUUUUCCUGUUGGUUUGUGUAUACAGGUCUAUGUAAAGUCAGCAUAGAGGCUCUUGAACAUUUUAGAAAGGAUACCAUGGUAGUUUGCCACUUUCAUGUUUAACAAAGGUUGAGAAUACCAUGAUAGUUUGCCACUUUCAUGUUUUCUUAAAUCAUGGAGCAUGAUCUUCAAAUGCAGCAUUGAUGGUAGAAAUUCAACAAAUGAGGGAAGAAAACAAAAUGAUGAAACACAAGCCCCUCCUGAUGAAGAUUAAGUAUUUUAUGUUUUUAUGACUUCUUUUGUGUAUGGCAAUAAUGCAUUGCUUAAAUGUUUAUGAACACAA